GGCGCGGAGCCCGAACUGGUAGAGGGCGGCGAGUUGGCACCUCGCCGUUAGAGGGUUCGAUUCCCUCCCGCGCCUCCA
rnacentral:tRNA from 1 species